rnacentral:misc_RNA from 1 species
UAUUCAUUUGCAUUACUCUGAAUAUUUUAGGGCUACUAAACCUUGACGCUUGUCCAGCAAUUUUGAAGUCAAAGAUAGUUCUUAUAUUCUGUUUAACAUAUUUCUUAUAAAAUUUAUUAUUGUAGAUCCACUUGGGGCGUGGAAUAUGGUUACCACAAGCGACUUUUAAUAAUGAUAUUUACACUGCAGGGUCAUCCCUAGCAAUGGUGGUAAAAAAUAUUGCAGUAUCUGUAUUCGGAGUAGAGUACCUGAAAUCCCAUAGUGUUAAAGGCAAGGCUUCGAACAAAACCAAAAGUAUCCCACGACCAGCUAUCGAUCCCACAAAAGCUCUCGCUAUACGAGAUAUUUUUGAAUACUACUUGAAAAAUGAAAAAACCAUGACUGGUCAGGCAU